rnacentral:lncRNA from 1 species
AAAAGGAGAGUGUCACGAAGUGUGUUUGGCACGCUCUGCUAAAGGACGUGGUAGCAGCAGCCUGCGUCAAGAAAACGGCGUGAACGUUGCUUCCGCAAGUCUUCUAAUAAUCCAAACAAUUAAUAGAACAUGUGAAAAGGCAUUGACUAGUCAAAAAGGCGACUUAUCCUCAAAAGGGCGACUGAUCCUUAUUACCGUGACACAUACACCAUACACGCACCAGCACUAGGAUGAAAUGUUGCCGGACCUUGGAUUUUAUGAAAUUUUCAACAAAAAUACUUAUAUUCAUGUAAAUUUUUAUACAAAUAAAUUUGGGAAAGUUAGGUUUUGGAUUGGUGAUGCGGAAAAUAUAUGAUUUUGAAAAUUCAAUUUUACAUAUUUCAAAAUUGAUAAUGUAAUUAGAUAAUAUUUGGAGAAUCAUGCAUUUUCAGCUUAUGUGUAUUUUAAUGCUAAAAAUACCCUUCACCUUGCCAGCUAAGCAUUCGACAUCUGAAAAUUCUGAAAAGAAAAAACUCUCCGAAAAGCCACAAAGCCAAUAUCUCUCUCGUAUACUACUUUUCCCCUUCUCUCUCCCAUUCUCAAUCUCAUAAACCCAAAAUGUUGUAAAACCUAACCUCUUUCAUUUCUGUAACAUUCUCGUCUCCCAUUUUGUUGAUAAACAUCAACAACCCAAAACCUAACUUUCCCAAAAAAAAAAGUUAUAAUGCUGCGGAGGAGAAGAAUUUAUCAGGUGGAUGUGUUGGUAAAUGAGAAACGAAUCAGAAGGAAGAGACAAGGGACUACGGGAGGAAACCGGGAAAGGUGAUAUGAUAUCCUUUUUGUUCCCAAAUUACUUGAUCCAAAAACCCUAAUUUCUAAAACGAAGAUCAGAUCCGGGGAAAAUUGAUAAUCGGAAUCAAUGGUGGGUGCAUCGAGCUCAUGGUCUCGCGCAUUGGUUCAGAUCUCACCCUACACCUUCUUCGCCAUCGGUAUCGCCAUUGCCAUCGGCGUUUUCGUCUUAGGUGCCGCUUGGUACUUUCUCUUCCCUCCAUCCCUUGUAAAAUCCACCAAAAUAAAACAACUACUAAAAUUUUUGCAUUCUUGUCAAACCAGCGGAGGUUUAGGUUAAAUUGAUACAUUAUAUUUGUUUUUUUUUUUUUUUUUUUUGGAUCGUUGUUUUGAUGGUUGCGUUAUUGCUGCAUUUUUAGGGGAAUUUAUAUAACUGGAAGUAGUCUAAUUGGUGUUUCCAUCAAAGCUCCUCGGAUUACUUCAAAAAAUCUAAUUAGGUGCGUACUUCAACUUUCUUUCUUUUUUUCUCGCUGGUUUUAUGGAUCAUUGAUGUGGUAUUACAUGGACUAGUUCUCUAGACUUAUCAAAAAAAUAUUCGAAAGGAAAUUUUUUUCUUCAAAAUGAUUCCCUCAAAACAAGAAGAUUUUAUGAAUUUAUUCUUGUUGAUUCAGAUUCUGUAGAAGUUUCCCAUAUUCAAAACAGAGAUUCUACAAAAAUUUGUUAUUCAAAAUGCAAAAUUUUCAAAGUUAUUUUUGAACUUGAGUAGAGACAAUCUCUUGUCACCCAUAAAAUGUUUUCUCAAAAUUUUAAGCCAUCUUCAUAUGAUUAUUAUGAUUAUAUGGAUGCAUGGUUUUGUGUUUUUCUCUUUCGUCCAUUCGAUCAUUCCUAGUUAUUCCAUUAGUAUUUAAAUUUCAAACUUCCUUUCCAAAUUGGUUCCAAGAAUGGUGGUUAUACUUUGGCGCCAUUCCAACAAUUUUAUAUCCUCAAAUCAAACCAUCUUUUGAUUACUUCAAAGAGCAUGCAAAGGGUUUGAUCUCUGCUCGAUGUUCUCAAACUCUUUUCUUCACUUCUCGCUUUCAAAUUCCAUGAAUCUUGUGUUGAGAUUUUGUUCAAACACAUCUAAUUGAUCUUUUAUUUCCCGCGCAUUUGGCGUAUGAAUUCAAAGUUAAAUGGUGGUCAAACUUCUCCCCAUCUUCUGCUCAACAACUUUCUCAUAUAAAAAACUAGAUUGCAGCAAAGGCUCCCUCCAAUAUUCAAAAUCCUUUUUAACUUCAUUUUCUUCUAUAUGAAGGAAUUCCAACUUCAUCAACACCUUUAGUUGCACAUUCUUCCAUCAAGCUGUUGAGAGAACACCUCAAAAUGCUUCAGCAACGUGCGGUGGAAACCCUCUCUCAACUGGCUUCAAAUUUUGAUGAUGAUGAUUCAACCUCUUCAAUUCUCAAAGAGCCCCAAAAUGAAGACAUGUGUUAUAGCUUGCCAUACACAACGUUGGACUAAGAUGGAGUCCUUUCUCUUCAACAAUAUUCAAAAGCGUCAAAUCAACUUCAAAGCAAAAUACAAAACCACACAUCCAUAUAAUCAUAAUAAUCAUACGAAGAUGACUUAAAAUUUUGAGAAAACGUUUUAUGGGUGACAAGAGAUUGUCCCCACUCAAGUUCAGAAAUAACUUUGAAAAUUUUGCAUUUUAAAUAACAAAUUUUUGUAGAAUCUCUGUUUUGAAUAUGGGAAACUUCUACAGAAUUUGGAUUAACAAGAAUAAAUUCAUAAAAUCUUCUUGUUUUGAGGGAAUCAUUUGAAGAAAAUAUUUUCCUUUUGGAAAUUUUUUUGAUAAGUCUAAAGAACCAGACUUAUUGAGAUGAUGAACUUCGAAUAUUCGAACUUUCAUCAAAUGGGCUUUUGCAAUGUAAUUGCUUGGAGCCUGCUUUGAAGGUUGGGCUUGGGUCACUUGAUAAAAUGUUUGAGAAGGCUUAAGGAUAUUUCCUAAGACUUGAAAUUGGUUUGAAAUUUGGGUUUGAAAAAUAAUAACAAUAAUAAUAAACAAACAAAUAGCGAAUAUUUUAUGGAACCUUGACCAAGUCUAAUUCAAUCUUAUAUUAAACUUUUUUGAGUUGCAUUGGAACAAUUUCAAAUAAUUUGAGUUUUUUUUUUCUUAUUAUAUUAUUUAAAUUAUUAAAAUUAAUAAGACUUAUAUUUGUAAUUUUCAUUGUUAAAACAAAUAAACUUGGGAUUGAUGUUUUUAAAACUCUUCGAAAGAUUUUUCUAUUUUUUUUAAGAAAAAAAUAGUACGGAUAAAUAAAUGAAGUAAAAUAAAAAUAUGAAGUACUAUGAGGCUAGACAAAAGAAAUAAAAUACGGAAAAGAAGGUUGAAGAAGUGCAUGGAUAGGGAAAAAAGAGUUUAUGGAUGAUCACAAAAAACUUCAAAAGAUACUUUGCAAAUUCUCAACAUUUAAUUUCUCGUACUAAUUCUCACCUUUCAAUUUCUAGUUCCCAUAGUUUUUGUUAAUUAAUAAAAAUAAUAACAAUAAUAAACUAAUAAAUAAAAAUAAUCAUUUAAUGAAACCUCAGUCAAGUCCAAUUCAAUCUUGUAUUAAACCCUUUUUAGCAGUUUUAGAACAUUUUCCAACAUUUUGAAUUUUUUAAAUUAUUAAAAGUAAUAAAACUUAUAUUUAUAAUUAAUAUUUUUUUUUAAAAACCUUGGGAUUGAUAUUUUUAGAACCCAUUGAAAGGUUCUUCUUAUUCUGUUUUUUUAUUUUUUUACUUUUUAUUUUUUAUUUAUUUAUAAUUCUACAAGGCCGAAUGCUAUUGAUGAUCUACAAAAACAAUAUUGAUAAACAAAUCAACUAAUAAUGAAAUAGAAUAACUACGAAGUACUAUGAAAUAGGGAAAAAGAAAUAAAAGAACUUUAUAAAAUAUAAAAAAGCUGGUAGAAGAACUUAUGAUUAAGGAAAAUGAGUAUAUAGGCCACCGCAAAAGAUGAGAUACUAAUAUAUAUAUUUUAAUUAUCAACAUUCAAUUUCUUGAGCAAAUUCUCACAAGAUUUCUAGCUCACAUAGUUUUUACUUAAUAAUAUAAAUAAUAAAAAUAAUAAUACACAAAUAAAUAAAAAGUAAUUCAAUGAAGAAAAAGUUUAUUUGAAAACUUGGAAUAUUCUUCUAUCAUUUUUUAUGUUUCCAAAUAUUUCUUAAAAAUAACUUUUAUUUAUAGUAUUUUAUUUUCAAUUAUUCUCCGUAUUCAUACAAUUAUUUUUUAUAAUAACCCCCCAUAAAACAACUUAAAGCAAUUUAAACACAUUAUCAUAAAACAACCCAUUUUUAGAACAAAUUUUUAAAAACUGUUUUAUAAAAUUUUUUUUUGCCAAAUGUGCUUUUAAAUUUGAGCAAAAAUUCCAAGGUUGAUGAUAUUUCUUCUUGAUAAAAAUCAGAGCUAUAUCAAUAGCAGUUUCCCCUUCCAAUCAAAAUGAGAAACUGUUUCUAAAAUUUAAUUUUUAUCUCCUAUGAUAAGAAAAUUUAAAUCAUGCUAGGGGUAUGAUUUCCUUUACUGUUCCUGCUGCUUCUCCCUUUUCUUUUAACAGAUCACCACCAUGAAACAGGACUUAAACCAUCAUAAUCAAGUGAUCCCUGCUAAACAGAAAACAGAGCUAGGAGCAACUCCUUGUCAGAAAGGAACUGUCAUUUACAAAAGCAGCAAUCCUAACAAAUUCAAGAGACACCAUAAAGUUGAUUUUCAGAAAGACAAAGGUGCCUCACAUCAAUUGUUACAUUUUACAAAGACAUGUAAAUAGAUUUAAGGAUUGCCGAAGGACUACUAAUUUCCUUAUUGAAGAACUUAGAGCAUUGAGAUUGGAUUGGAAGAAGAAAACAAGCCAAAAUAAUCAGAAGCUGGCAUUCUCUUCCAGUGGGGCACAUCUAUAUAUACCUGACACUCUCAAUUAAUAGGAAGCACAUUUGAUGAAUAUCCCACAAGACAUCCACAUAUAUUUGUGUACAAGAAAUGCCUUUUUAUUUAAAACUAGUGCAAAUAGGAACCAGUUCGGAGCAUCCGGAAAGCGUCCAUCUCUACGAGCAUAUACGAUAUACUUGGAGAACUCACUGAAUCAAUCAGAUAUCCAAAUAUUGAAAUGAAUUUGGAUCUCUGUUUUUGGUAAUCUAAUGGGUGACUAAGGUCAAAUUGGGUGGAUCUGUCAAAAUUGUCUUACAGGCUUAACCUCCUUUUUUCUUAAUCACCUCUGGGAGUGUUAUUGCUCAAGCUAUAUUUGUUUCUUCCUUCAUAUAUAAGUGGUAUUUGCUGCUUUCACAGAAAUUCAGAGUAGCUCACUAGGUUCUAUAAAAGCAACCAAAACAUUUCCUGUACAAUAAAGUUGUCUUCCCCCCAUUUCCAUUCAUGCAUUCAUUGUUCAAAAAUAUCAUUUACAAACACAUUAGAAAAAAUAUGUUCUUAUUACCUAUGACAUAUGUAUAUAUUAGUAACAGAAAAAAGGGCCUUUUGGUAUGUAUAAAUUAAUGGAAUGCCUGAACAUAACAAGAAUAUGACAAAGAGUCCUAUAAAAAUGGGCCUUUGGUUUUUAUUUUUUUUACUUUAUGGAAUAACCAAUUUAUUGCACAAAGAAAAAAGGAAGAAGAUAAAAUCAAUAAACAUGCACAGUAUACAAAAAGCAAAGAAACGAAAAGACAACAGGUUUCUCAACAAGAGAAGAGAAAAUGAAAAACUACAACUUAGUGAAGUGAGAAAGCCUAUAAUAUAUUAACAGUGUCCUAGAUUAAGAGUGCCAUAUCAUAUAAAAUGAUGUCUAGAAAGAAAGAUUUCAAUAUCACCAACAUGAAAAACAAUUUCAUCUUCACCAGUGAAUAAACUUUUGGCUUACCACAAGUGGCAUCAACCCAUAAACUAAAGACUUAGUAUAGUAGGCAUAUCUAAUACACACACAUGUAUCUGUAUAUAUGAGAAUUCUAAUAAAUGGAUAAAAAAUAAUCUCCUAGUGAAAAUUAGAGAAUAUUAAUUACUAACCGAGAAGUCAAGUAAAUUACUAGAAAAAUUCAAGAAAUAAGAGGUUAUUUGUCUAAAAAAUAUAAAUGUUUGGGAGCUUAUUCUGAAUAAUUUACUAAAAGUUUGUUUACUUUAUUUUUCUAGUCCUUAUAAUAGCAAUAUUGAUUCAAUGUACUCAAACGACUGCCAGAGUGGUACCCAACUAAAAGAAGAGCCAUAAAACAAUAUAACAUAACUAGUUUUGAGCACGCUCCAUCAGCCAGCACUUAGAAACUCUUACCAAUGAAAACAAAAUCUUAGGGAGUAACAAUAUCUCUCUGCAGUUGGCCCUUAAAAUUAUAACACAGCUUCCAAAGGAAAAAGAGCUUGAGGUGCCCUACUUCUAGAGAUGAAAAACCUUGAAAGGAUGAAGUUCAAAGGAUGAACUUACCAAAAUCACCAUGGGGGCAAAUGGCUUUGACUCUUUUGGUUGCUCAACUGGAACUGGAGAAUAACUUACACUCUGAACUUGGAACCUUAUCUGCAGCAGAACACCAAAAGUUAAUGCAAACCACAACUGGAAGUUUUAGCAUAAUUAUAGAACUGUUAAAAGAAUUAUGCAACUUAAACCUUGUCCAUCCCAUCAAUAGGAAAUUUUUGUUCUUGAUUAUCCCAUAUCCAUAUGACUUGACUCCUGGAAUUCCAUAAAAGGAAAAAAGUAGAACACUAUAUAUACGGAUGUAAGGAGUAGCCAUGAAAUGAAUGAAAAAAACAAAAGAAAAAAAGAAAGCAAAUGGUGAAAUCCUGAAAAAUCUAAUUUUAAUUCCAUUAAAAAGUUAAAUUCUUCUAUGGGUUUGGCUCACAGCGGGAUGGAUUUGGCAUAAGAUGGACCAGUCUGUAGACGUCUUCAAAGAAUCCAAGAGAUACUGUCCAUUACAGAUUCAAUAUCAGCAGUAUGCAGAUAUUAAAUAGGUGUUAUUCAUGAUGAUGACACAAAAUUGAAUUCACCAUGUGCAUAGCAGCUAUUUUCACUGAUGAGAAGCCAAAGGAUGCCUUAAAACAAGGUUUAUAUUGAAAAACAAAAUUCUGAUAUCCACUCUACAUCUUCGAGAGGUAACUCACUGAGACAGGGUACAACUAAGUUGCAUUAAGUAUUUGAAGAGCAACAUGAUCUUGGCCAUAAUGAAAAUGCAUAGCAGCAAAGCCCAUAAAAAUAAUAACCAACUAGAAAGGACUAAGCUAAGUAUCUAGCUAAGAUGAAAGAUCACACUCCAAUAAUCACAGGUGUUAUGCACAAUGCUUCGGAAGCUGAUUCCUUAACUCAUGAGCAAUGUCAAGGAGCAACGAUUUUGUGAAAAGAGUAUUUAGGAAAAAGUAAAUGAAUAACAUGUUCCUUAUCAACAAGUGAUUUGGAUAUAACUGCUGAACUAAAAGUUAUAAAAGUGUUUUUAAACAAUCUUCAAUCUCUAGCUAUGAUUUUGCAACCAGUCUUUGGGAACCAAGCAUGCCACUUUUACAACGGAGCUAGAGAAUGACUUAUAUGAAGAUAAAUGGCCUACAGGAUUCAACAGCAUUUCCCAGGUCUGGUACGAGUGCCCACAACUGGAACAUGUCAUUUUCAUCCAAAUACAUCAAUUGAAAUACCAUGACUCCGAAAGCCUUUUUUGUUUUCAUCUUGUCUGGACUAAUAUGAUACAGUUGAAAGCCCUACAAGGACAGGGGCAAGGGCAAGGCAAAGAAAGUAGUGAGAAAGGUGAAUAAAUUGUGCUUCCAUAAGUAAUAUGGCUCUAGACAUAUUGGAGCAUCAAAAAUGGAUUUCAAUAACUGAACCCAAGUAAUUGAGGCUCUGUCGAUUUGCUUAAUUUUGACUCGAGUUGCUUCAAUGAUUAAAUCAUUUAAAUCCAGAUAAGUUUUGCUUUACAUUAUCCUAAUAACAUUGUCCCAAAAUUUUGCUUUACAACUACCUCGUUGAAUUCAUGUGCGGUUUUAAUCAUCAUGCGAUUCAGCCCAUCGCCUUUUUCAAUUCAAUUCAAAAACGGACGAAUAUGAAGGCAAUGCAAAAGUCCCUGAUGGAUAAAUUAUAAAAAGAAAAAUAGAUUAGGUAUACCGUAUAGGUUGAAGCACCAUCCGCAGGAAAGGCAAAGUCACCGUCAAUAGAUCUGAUAUCAUAUACAGAGAUACACAGUCCCAAAUCCGCAAUAACCUUCAUCACAACACACAUUCUUCUCAGUCCCUUAAAUGCUCUGAAAGCACAAUAACAGAAUGAAAACGCAAAGACAUUGCUCAAUUUUCACACCUUAUCUAAGAAUUGACUCUCAAGCUCUCCUUGGAUGGUUUUAUCGAGAGAAAGGUCCAGAAGAUGAGGAGGCAAACGCAGUGUGUGCUCAAUUAAGCUAAGGAAGAACAUGUAAACCUAGGAAAAGUAAAUUCCAAACUGAAAAUCAAAUGAAUCAAUUGCAGACGCAGAUUAUCACAUAAAUUUGAGCCAGUUAAAGUUAAAAGUACAAAUGGUUUCAUAAAUGAGAUUUUGGUUGUUCUAGGGUUUUAAUCUCCGACCGGUGAUCGCUGCCGCCGAUCAGCGAUAGAAAUAUUUCCCUAACUGCCGCGCCGGCAUGAGAUGGUUGUCCUCGAAUGCUUGCUACUCGUCGACAAUGAGAGAAGAGACUGAAAAGAACCGUGUGUGCAUGGAUGGAAAUUUGGGGAAAUAUCGUGGAAUUCGUGGAAAUAUCGGAGAAAUUUCGGCCAGACAUUUCAUAUAAAUUUCGCUGAAUGAUUGGAGAAAUUUCGCCCAAUUUUCGGAGAUAUUUCGCAAAGCUAAUUUGCUGAUUUUUGUUAACUUUCGCCGAUAUUUUGGAAUUUUCCGCGACAUUCCAGGGUUUUUUCGAUAAAUCCCGAUUUUUCGAGGCCUUCACCCUAAUGUUAACAAAAACAGCCUCGGCCACUUGGCUUUCUCCAAUAAAAUAGGAAAAUUUGAAAUUGAAUAUACUAAUAAGUGAAUUUAAGGUCUGUUUAGAUAUACAGAUGGGGUGAAUGGGGCAUCAUCAACCCACCUUUAGAAAAAACAAAAAAAAAAAAAUCCCACUAACCGUAUGAUUCCCUUCGAAUCAAGGGGGUAAUAUAACAACCCCCAACCAUUUAGAUGACAACUAUAUACCUCAUAAACAAAAUUUGAUGAAGAAUACUUAUCCAUUAUAUAUACAAAAGAAGAAAGGACUUGAUUAAAGAUGCGUAUUACCUGCUUUAGAUUUUGUUCAAUUAAUUUUAGACUACAUUUUACAAUAAUUUCAAAAAUCGUUUUAAUAUUUUUAAUAUUAAAAAUAUUUUCUAUAAUCACUACUAAUUUUUAAUUUAAUUUUUGUAAUUUUUGAAAACAUUUAUAUUUACCUCCUACCUAAAUUGUUCUCACAAUCCCACAUCUUUGCAUUAAUACUUCUUUUACACAUUUCAUGACUUUGAAUUAUGUUACACAUUUCAUUUUUAAAAACACAUUAAUAUAUUGGUUUUAAAUUUAUUUUAUAUCUUAUUUUAAUUUUUGUCUGUCUUGCAUUCCUCUUCAAAUUUUAUUUUAUUUUAUUGAUUCAGAGGUGUUUUUCUCUCUACUUUUCUGGGAAAAGAAAGGAAAAGGAAAAGAGGGCGAAACCUCAAUUAGCUCCAAAUGGGUAAAAGCAGACAUCAGCAGAGGAAAAACCAAGGAAAAUUUUGUACACAUGGGCUAAAUGAUAUACACACACGAACAAUUUUUUAAUGGCACGUGCGUUAAAUCACUCGCCAACUCCUUUGCAUAACAAAGAGGAAGUAAUAAUACUAAUGAUAAUAAUUACAGAAAAAGAAAGUAAAACCAGACAACCAGUUGGCAAUCUUACGAUAUGAUUAGCGUAAAAUUAAAAAUAGCAUUGUUGUUGAAAGAGGAAACGACCCACAAUAUCAUAAUCACUAAAGACAGAAGAGAAGCGCAUGGACAUCGGCAUCAGUGAUGAGUGGAUGGGGGGCAUGGGCGAUCACUUCCAUUGCCGCCAUCUACACGAGUACAUGAAGAAGCGGUAGGAGGAGGAGGAGGAGGGGCCGCUGCUUUUGCCAUUGAAACAGCGUCCUGAUGAGGGGAUGAGUGGCAUGGGGGAUGGUCACGUCCAUUGUGGCCACCUAUAUGGGUGCAGGAAGAAGCGGCAGAGGGAGGGACGGGACCACUUGUCCUUACACCAGUGUCCUUAAGGCUGCUUUGAACUCUAGCAGACGCCACAAGAGUUGUUGUGAGGAUGAACAAGAGACAGACAGAGAUUGAGAAGAGGGGCCGGAUGUGCACUUCCUUAAACGACUUCAUCGUGUUUAUCAAAAUGAGUGAUGGUGGAGGGGAUAGCAGGGGGCGACGGGCUUUUAUUAAGCAAAUCAGUUGGUCUAGGGGAAAUGUUUGGGAACUUUGGGUAGAGCUGGAUUCGAGUGUUUGUUUCGUUUUCAUGGGAAUGGUGUUUGGUGGGGCAAUCUACUUGUGGCAAGAAAAGGUAAAAGAAGAAAAAGUGGAAUGAGGAAUAAAGAAUAAACUGGGCUCCCUGCCCACACAAAGAUCCCCUCAAACUAGAAAAUUCAUGGACUUUUCGAUAUCAUAAUCAUAAUACAGACAAAGAUGUGUUCAAACUAGAAAUUUCAUGGACUUUCAUAAGACAUCCAAGUGCCACAAUAGGGUGUGAGAUUCAGUGGAUACCGUAUCCAUAUCAUGGAUUAAUUAAUUCAAUUAAUCCACAUGGAUCAACAAAAAUGAGGGGAGGAGGUAUAAAUAGUCAAAAGUAACAUACAACAAAGGCCUCGACCAAAUUGAGAGGCCAAACCACUAGGGAACUAUUAUGUUAUAAAAGGACACAUCAUAAACCACUUGGAGGCCCAAUCCUAGCCCCAAAAGUCUUGAGGAUUAUUUGUCCUAUUCUUCCCUGGUGUUCUCACUUGUUGGAGGCCAAAUCCUAGCCCCAAAAGUCUGAGGAUUAUUUGUCCUAUUCUUCCCUGGUGUUCUCACUUGUUGGAGUCCAAACCAAAUGUCCAAAAGUCUUUAAAGGAUGAGGAGAGAAAAGAUGUCGAUGAUGAAAUAAUCACCUUCCCUACCUCUCUUUCUCUCUCUUAUGCUAAUAUACUGAAAGUCAUUCAGAGUUCCCUCUCCCUCUCCCUCUCUCUCAUAUUGAUCUCGGAUGCUAAAAUGUAAGUCAUUCGGAGUUCAGUGAAAUGCCAUUUUCAAAAGGUUCAGUUCCUUCCCCAUUGUUUAAAGAGAGUGCCACAGGCUUCACAAUGGCCCCUAGAAAAAUAUAAUAAUAAUAUGGUAACUGGGCUUGAAGAGAUGAACCUUUAUUUAGAGAGGAACUUCGUAUAAUUUUAUUAUUAUUAAAUGAACAAAUUUUGUUUUGUUUGUUUGUUUUUUUUUUUCAAUUUUUCAAUACUUCUAUUUUUCUUUUAUUUUCAAAAAGGAACUCAGCGGUGCAGUUAAGAGACAACUUCAUAGCAAUAGCCCCUAUCCAACUUUUAGGAGCUUAAACACAAAGAAAGGCAAAUAAUAAAAAAUAUAUCCAAAGGCAUGUAAGGUUUAACAAAUGAUGCAAUCUACUGAUCUCAGAGACCAAAUAGAAGUUCACCAACCCAGUGUGACAUUCCAUGCAUUACGCAACACGCGCGACAAAGAGGUCCCACGCGUUUUGACUAACAUGGGGGCUUCACGUUCGCUUUAAUGUCUCCAUUCUCUUGUACAGCCCUACCAAAUAAUAAUCGUAAAGGUCAAACCAUGGUCAGUGCCACAUACCUCCACAUAUUGUCUAAUGGGAUAUUGACACCUGUAAAAACUACAAUACAAAAUUAAAUAAAACCUGUUAAAAUGAAUGGCAGAUCCCACGUAACAUAUUCAAUGCUCCAAAAUAAUUCUUCCUAACCUACCUGCACGUUUCCGUAUAAUUUCUCCUCAUCACGACCAAUUUCACCUGCUCCACACAAGACCACCUUCCAGUAGGUCGCUGGGAAAACACAGCGGACUGUCAAAUUGACCAAGUUGAGCAAAACCAAGGUUUAAAAAUGUUAAUAUUUAAUGCUAGAAAAUAUCAUGCAGGGGAAGUUUCGGUACCACAUCAUUUUUAUAUUGAGAAAAAAAAUAAAAUUAAUAAAUUAUUUUUACAUCUUACUUCAAAAUCAUUUCACUUGUUCAAUCUUAUAAUAUAAAGAUUAAAUGAUUUAAAAAUAUGCAAAAUUUUUUACUAAAUUUAAUUAUAUUUAAUAUUUUUAUGUAUUUUUUUUUUUUUCCCCUUAAUAUUUUUACUCCAACUGUCUACAAUCCUAAGUCCUGCAGUGCAUUUCAAGUUCGUGUAACCAAUCAGAAUUGGCACAUCCAUUACUUUUCAAGUGUAGAAUUAGUUCUCAAAAGAAAGAUUAUGACUCGUACAUGGUACAAGCAUAUUUUGAAUACUUUCUAAAGACAGAGAACUAUCAGCUGAUUUGAGAAUAGGCUGAGGAGGCCCUUCUGUAUGGAACUCCAUUCCUCUUAGAGACAUCUAUUCUGCAACAAAGUCCUAUUGCUUACUUAUCAAUAAAUAAGUAAUCUCCUAUUGAAAAAAUAUUCUCACUGCAUUAUCAAUUAAUAAAAUUAGAAAACAUUAAUCAUUAUUCUCCCCUUCAUCUGGCUUAUUAAAAAAGGAAAAACUUAUGAGGUUUAAAAUGAUAGUUAGCUUAAGCACGUGUCCCAAGUUUGGAACCUACCUUUCCUUUUUUUCAACACUCCUCUUUUUUCCUUGUUUUGUUUUGAAACUUGAGGGUUCCAAAGAAGAUUGUUUCAACUGUGUGUAUAGGGUGCAACCCAUUUUUCUUUUAUUGGCACUACCUAACAUAUUUGCUUGCCUUAAAAGAAAAAGUUAUCCUGAAGGUGUAACUUAAUGCUUUCUUGAUAUUUAGAUAUAAAAUCCUUUCCAAUCAAGAUUCUUCUGACCUUCUAUUAACAUUUCCAUGACUGGGUUCCUCUUCAAGAAAUUGUCUUCAUAUUGUUUCUCCAUAUCAUGUCUUCCCUUUCAGGUCACGCUCCAUUCACUAAUACUGCAAAACUUGUCAAGGACAAAUAAUUUAUCUCCCAAAUGCUGUAGUAAUACAUAAAUGCUUAAGAUUGAAUAUUGCAUUCAUCUCCCAAUAGCUAGUGGUUUACUCAUGUUCAUUAAUUUAUUAAAAUUUUCAGUUAACCUCUCUUUGAGUGGGUCUAACCCAAGAAGUUUGCUGACAACUGAAUAAACUCUUAUGUUUUUAGUGACAGAAAAUAGGUCGUGGCUCACUUCACUAAAGCCCGUACCUUAUGUGCAUCAAGCUCUAGGAGGACUUUGCACCUUGGUGUGCCUUGGGCCUUUUAAAACUAUGUUUGUACCCUUGUUUCCAAUGCUUCAAGUCCACCAAAACAAUUCCACAUAUAAAGCAACAUUUCUGACUGCCAUGGAAUUGGAAUUCUGCAAAAAUUCAAUUGCGGUACAAUCAGAUGCAGUCUUAAUUUUUUUACAGAUAGUCAACUUAAUUUACAGAUAUCUACCUCACCAAUGCAUCAAUGAUCUCUAAGCCUCUUUCUUUCUUCAUAAUAUUAUUUCAUCAAGCCAACCAUUUGACAAUACCUUUCCCAUUCUCUUCAACCCACAUAAAAGGACUAUUUCAGUUUCCACUUUGAAAGAUAUGGUAAUUGAAAAAAGAAAACAAAGGACUAUAUGACAAAUAAAUAAAGUUUUGCUAUCUGAAUUUGUAAAGAACUCAAUUGAACAAAACCAUUAAAAAGGCAUGGGCAUUCAAAUUCCUUCACGAGGGUGGAGCCAGGCACAGACAUUUUGCAGCCAUUCACUAGAAUAUUUGGAAGAAAAUAGAUGGGCCCUUUUUAAUUAAAAAAAUGCAGCUUCAUUAGAAAACGAGGAAAAAAAAGAAGAGAAUUAGCAUUUCUGCAACACCCUAACUAUAUGGCCAUUAAUCCUAUUCCAAUAAGGAAAAUAUUUUGGAAAUUUUUAUGAGACAAUACAUAUAUAUAAUAAGUUGCCAUUUUUAUUCAUAUGUUAGAUUGUCCAAAUGAAUGAAGUGUCAUCAUUGCACUAGGAAAUAACCCCUUAAAGGUCUAUGCUAUGAAGGUCUCAUUCCCAGGUCCCCAGAUCAAAUGAUUAUUGUGAUCUUUUAUUGCUAAAGAUGUAAUGAUUAAAGCCCAAUAUUUUGUUGGGUCCUGUGACUAAAAAGGUGACAAAAAUUGAGUUACUGCUUGAAGCCCACACUAAACCAGCAAGGUUGCUGCAACUAAAAAUCAUACCCUUCAGGUAUGAGACAGAAACAAGCCCUUUUUUCCUUUUAUACAAUCAUUGUGUUCGAUUAUGGACUACUAAGAGUGGCAACUCUACUUAUUCCAUUCUAUGUUAAAUAGAUGAAUAAUAGAACAUAUGAAGUUUUAAAACUAGUCGAUGAAUGUUGCAAACAACAGAAUGCAAAUGAAAACUCUUUUAAACUUCAUAGGCAGUUUACAUUUAUGCAUAUUUGCAAAACUAGUGGCACCACAGAAAUACAACUUAAAUUUCUAUCAUAAAACCGUAAGAACAACAUAAGUAAUCAUUUGGGAGGGAAAAAGAGAGUGACCUUUCCAUGUGGAUUCAUAGCUUUUAGGCCUGUUGAGAAAUUUGACCCAUUACUUUUAUCCAUGAUCCACCUGACCAAAUGACAAACGGUGGGCCCAAAAACUACCUUUGAUGCAAAUUAAUAUUGACAAACUGUAACAAGUGCAGUCAGGAUAAAGUGUAUGUGUGUGUGUAUGAUAAAAACAAAUGCUUUGCUUAUGUUAACCUGGAAGAAUCCAUUUCCAAUCAACAUGUCAGUAAAAUAGGUCUGACAUGCUCCAUCAAACAGCUUUGAUUUUCCAUGCAAGAUCUAUGGUGGAGGGGCCUGACAACCAGUGACAAAGCCCACCUGUUGAAGUAAUAGUUCACAUACUCAACAACCACCAAAUGAGUCUAAUGCUUAUUAUGUUCAGUUUUCUAAAACAAUCUCUUACUAGAUCAUGAAACAAUUAACUCACCAACCAUUCCCCAGGGGACAACUUUGAUUCACCUCAGUGAGGCACUGUAGCACCUUUCAUGUUUGUAGCAACCACUAUGCCAUAAUCAGCCCCAACCAUUUUCAAAAAGGACCUAAAAUAGGAAAUAAAAUCAAAAGAUUCAACAAAUACUUGAAUUCAUCAUAAGUCCAUAGAAUUCAAAUCCAUUAAGUAAUACCUGAAUCUCAUCCAUAUUUUAGGGGGGAAAAGUCUAAAUUAAAUCCAUUUAUUGUUUUUGUCAGCAAGAUCCAGUUUUACUUGGUCAAGUUAAAAACACAGAUAUUAAAGUGGUGCCACACUACAGGGGUGCAUAAAUGCUUAAAAUUUUGUGUAAGUUUGGCAACCAACUUCCAAUGUGCUUCUACAAUCAGUCAAGAAUAGAGAAAAAGAAAAUGAUUCUUAGAAGCAUAAAAUGUUAUAGUUGGAAUCGCCCUUCCUUUUAUAUAACAGUUAGAUAUCAGAAUACAUAUGUACAUUCGGAAAAUUUUCCAGUAAGAAGAAUGCCAUUAAUCAUUUAAUCCAGAGUUUAGGAACACUAACAAAUUGUCAAAUAAGAUUCCCCACAACCUUCACCAUGAAAUAGGAUUUGAUCAUGAUGCAAUUUGACAAGCCAUCUUAUAGAGAGAAGUGACCCAAUGUUAGCUAAAAAUCAAUGUCCAAAGAGUUUCCAAGUACAUUGUGUUCACUCUCUUUAGCAUAACCACAAUUUCAUCAAAAGAAAACUAACCACCAUGUUGUAGUUGUCAACACAAUAACUUUGCUGCAGGAUCACGUUAUCUCCUCUAAUACACUUCUCAUUCAUCAAAGGAAAACCAACCCUUUUGGUGUGUCCCUAGGAAUGUCUUUCUAACCACUUCCUGACAUAAUGCUUCCUAUGGUCAAAGGUGUUUGGCAGCUAGGUUGUGCAUUAUUACCAGCCAUCGCUUUAGCACCCACAUUAAGAAUAUUACUUUGCAAUUCAUGCAAGGAAAUUCACUUCGACAACUGACUCUAAAGCUCCCUCAAACCAUCUUCAUAGUCUUGCUGCAUCAGAGAUAUAAAAAACCAACACCAAAAUAUGGUGACAUUUCCAAAGAAAUUAUGAAAACUCUAGUGAGUUUCUUUGUGAAAGUUCAAUAAUUCAACAUCAGUUGAAUUGAGAGGACAACUGAAGUUGGGUUGUUAUAUGGUAUAGGUUGUCUAGCACAUGCAUAUGCACCCUUGGCAGAACAACUGGAGUUUGGACACAAGCCCAUUAAUAUAACUAGUGCCAUAGUAAAAGGAAGAUGAGAUAAUAAAUGAAUUAUUUUAAAUGUAUACAGGGCUAAACCCCUAGGUAGAUAGAUGAAUGCUCUACAUGUUGCUUUAAAUGAUAAAUAGAUACAUUGCUCAACUUCUCCUAAACAAGUGUGCAGGAUAUUCCUUCUUGAAACUUAUAAGAAAAGACAGACUACACAAACAUACAUUGUUCUUCGCAACUCUCAAUCACUUUUCAUUGAGAACCAUGACCAUCUAUGUACACAUGUUAUUCAUUUUAACAAGGAGAGAAAGACCAAAAAAGCCCUGGUUUUCUUAAUUAGGUAAGAGCAAAAAUAAGUGUAGAAUACGCUCUCUUGAAAAGUCACAUCUAAAUUAAGAAACAAAACUCUCAAAUAAAUGGCCAUAGAAGGGAGUGCUAAGUAACAUGCAAGUAUGAAAUAGUUAUUUAAUUUUCUGUGGAAGUCUUUGAUAGAUUGAGAUAUUGUCAAUUACAAAAGGCAGAACCACAUUUGGUUGUUACAGUGAGCUCAUAUACAUUGGAGUGGGAAGGCUCACAAGCACGCAGCACACGCUGUGCUGGUAAGCGAAUCAAAUACUCUUACCGCAAUGCAUUUCUAGUUCAUGUAACCAAUCAGAAUUGGCACAUCCGUUACUUUUCAAGUGUAGAAUUAGUUCUCAAAAGAAAGAUUAUGAGUCGUACACGGUACAAGCAUAUUUUGAAUACUUACCAAUCAAGGCAUCACAGGAAGUUAUGAAGUGUGAUUCCGUCUUUUGACAUUAAGAGAACAAAAUGGAAACACACCUAAUGUUGCUUUGAUUGGAAUAUCAAGAAAAGAAAAAGGCUAUACCAAGUAGAAGUCGUACAAAAAUCGACCUUUGUAUUAGACCCCUGUCCUGUUGCAAACAUGAUAAUAUUAUAUAGGAGACUAGGAGUAACCUUCAACUAUUCCUUUGUCAUUCUCUAAAGACACAGAACUAUCAGCUGAUUUGAGAAUAGCCUGAGGAGGCCCUUCUGUAUGGAACUCCAUUCCUCUUAGAGACAUCUAUUCUGCAACAAAGUCUCCGACCUGUAGACAUUGAAAAUGCAAGUUUGGCACUCUUGCCCAUGCAAAUAGCAAAAACAAAUACUAACAUCAUAUGCAGUUCCUUACAUGGACUGAGCCGGUCAAACCAUUGAAGAUACCAGCAAAAUCCAUAGCGAUGCACUCACCCCCAAGUAUCAUAAUUUUUUUAGGUUAUGAGGGAAAUCAAGGGCAGCAUCUGAACCUAUGGCAUAUCCACUGAGAGGAAUUUAUGGAAUGAAGGGGCACCUCCCAACUGCAAUUAGCAUGUGCCUUGCUGUGUUUAGUGUUCCAUCCACAUUAACAGUGUGAGUCCACAAUCUGUGCAUAUAAUCAUUAAAAUUCAAGCAACAGUCUUAAGAAGUGUGAAAUAUAAAUUCAUUUCAAAGAAUAGUUAUGAUUAUUUCUAAUAAACAGAAAACUGUUUUCAAGAACAGUUUCCAAACAGGGUGUUAGUCACUAUCUAGAAUACACACACAUGUAUUUUUAUAAGUGAGGAGCAGUCGAUUCUGUCACCAAACAGCUCUUUCCUUAGAAGUUUACAGUUUUUUUUUUGUUUUCCCCCUCUAUGGCAUAACCUUUUGAUACAACUUGUAUGCCUAUUGUGCACAUUUGUAUAGUUUUUUGUUGUUUUAUUUAUAAAACUUCUUGCUUACUUAUCAAUAAAUAAAUAAUCUCCUAUUGAAAAAAUAUUCUCACUGCAUUAUUAAUUAAUAAAAUUAGAAAACAUUAAUCAUUAACUGUGAAGUCAAGCACAAUAGUAGAAAAAAAUCAAGAAAUAAGAGGUUAUUUGUCUGGAAAAUAAGAUCAUUUGGGAGCUUAUUCUAUAUCAUUUAGUAAAAUUCUACUUACUUUAUUUUGUUAGCCCUUACGAUGCCAAUGUUGUUUCAAUGUGCUCAUAUGAAUUUUGCCAGGUGGUAGCUAUCUAAAAGACAAGCCACAAGUCAUGUAAGUUUUUUUAAACAAUCUUUAAUCUCUAGUGCUGAUUUUGCAACCUGUCUUUGAGAACCAAGCAUGCCACUUCUAUGAUAGAGCUAGACAAUGACUAUAUGAAGAUAGAGGGCCAACAGGAUUCAACGGCAUUUCCCAGGUCUGGUAAAUUGACCAGCCAACUGGUACAUACCAUUUUCAUCUCAAUAAUGUCAUGCUCCAAUUGAAAUACCAUUGAUUCCUGAGGCCUUUUUUGUUUUCAUCCUGUGUGGCAAAAGCUGCAGAAAAUGCACUAGCGAAAAGGACUAAUAUGAUUCAGUUGGAGGCCCGACAAGGACAAGGAAAAGGCAAAGAAAGUAGUGAGAAAGGUGAAUAAUAACCUGUGAUUCCAUAGGUAAUAUGACUCUAGACAUAGUCAAGCAUCAAAAAAGGAAUUCAAUAGUACUUGAGGACUCAAGUUGCUUCUAAUUCUCCAGUAGAAGAAAGGGGAUUUCCAUAACCGGCCAUAAAAAUAGCAAAUGGUAUGGUCUAAUUUUGAAUCUGCUUCUAACUCUCUGAUGGAAGAAACAGAUUUCCAUAACCGGCCAUAAAAAUAGCAAAUUGCAUGUCUUCAUGGUUGCCGCCAGUUAGUCAUAAUCUAGGAUAUGAAAGAAAUUUUCCUUCGAGGAUAGGAUUCCUCAUGAAUUUGGAGUGUGUGCCAUGUUAAAUGAGCAAGUAGUUUGCAUUAUCUAAGAAAUCUCUAAUCUGGAUAUUUGGUAAGGAAAUUUAUGGGUGCCUAAAUCAAGGAGUUUUCAACCGAGUAACUAGUGACAAAUAAGAACACAUGCAUGAAAAAAUUCUAAAGAGAGCAUUGGGCGGCUGAGAAGAAACCACAAUUGAUAAACUCAUUUGGAUCAAAUGCAAUGAUUAAAAUCAUUUAAAUCCAGAUAAAUUUUGCCUUACAUAUCCUAAUAACAUUUUUCUUUUCACUUGAAUGCAUUGUCAUCAUGAUGCAUAAGAUACAAAAAUUACUCCCAGAUGCUCUGAAAUCACAAUAACAAAAUGAAAACGCAAAGACAAUGCUCAAUCUCCACACCUUAUCUAAGGAGAAACUCUCAAGCUCUCCUUUGAUGGCUUCAUCGAGAGGAAAGUCCGGAAGAUAAGGAUGCAAAUGCAGUGUGUGCUCAAUUAAGCCGAGGAAGAACAUCUAAACCUAGAAAACGUAAAUUCCAAACUGAAAAUCAAUUUGCAGAGGCAGAUUAUCACAGUAACAUUAACAAAUUUAAGUACAUAGUAUAAAAAAAUUUAUUCUCUAACUUGUUUUCGCAGUCUCAACGAUGCUUUUGUUUUUCGUAAGGUUCUUCAGUGAGAUUUUGGUUGUUCUAGGGUUUUGAUCUCCAACCGGUCACCUUUUCAGCCGGCCACGGAGAGGAAUAUUUCCUAACGUGUCACGCCGGCUUAAGACGGUUAUCUUCCAAGGGAUGCUAUUCGUCGACGGUGAGACUGAAACGAAUGUGGCUGAGAGGGAGGGAGAGGGAGACAGAGAGAGGGAGCCCCCGUUUGAAAAGGAAAAAAUUAUUUCAAGAAUUUGAAAAAAAAAACAAGUCAAAAUUAACUGAAUAAUUUUACAAUUAAAAUUUAUUUUAAUUUUAUAGUUCUUUAUAAAAAAUUUAGAUCAAAUUUGGAAAUGGUUUGAUAAAUUUUUAUCUAAAUAAAUUAUUUUUUAGAGUAAAACUUUUUAAAUAUUUUUAAAAAAAUAUUGUCAAAACCGUAAUAACCACACGAUUUUAAAUUUCAGCACUAAAAUUUUGAUUUAAAUUUUUUUAAUGAAGCUUUUUUUUAUUAAAAUAUUUAAAUUUAUGUAUAAAAAAUAGUAUAAGAAAAUUCUUUAUAUUAAUUUUAUUUUUUAUUUAAUAAUAUAUAUAAAUUGUUUAGUAAAUUUAUGAUAUUAUUUUUUAAAAAACUUUUAAUGUAUGAAAUAAGAUACCUUUGACCUUCGUCGCAUAUGGAAUGUAUCCACUUCAAUAGCCCUAUGAAAGGUGACCCAAUGGGCUGGUCCAAGUUUGCAAGAGGAGGUGUGAGCCCAACCAAUUUGUGUCCAACCCAUUAUGGCCCACAAGUCCACACACAAAAAUUCAAACAACAGUUGGAUUUGAUUUUUAGAGGGAGUGUGAGAAACAGAAGGAAACAGUGAGAGAAACAGCACCAAACUGAAUAGCCACCGGAAGAGAGCGUACAGUAUUCACAUUGGAGGAAGACAUGAUGGCUUAUACGGUAAUACGGUUAUACCUUGACGCUUAUUUCAUCUCCACUCUCCACUGCCAUCUCAACAGUUUUGUUGAUGGGUUACACUGUUUGAAGAAAGUCGUAUCAAAACACAUAUAUGAAAACACGCACAGCCCAAAGUCUGGAGAGACUACCCUCACCCCUUUGAUGGAGGAAUUCAUGGCCACCCAUUCCAUCCCAUCAUGACCAGUUUUGCUCAAGGUUUUUAAAAAUAUUACUUUUUUCACCUCUCUAUGAGUUAUCCAGAGGACCUGAUGAGUACAUAUUGUGUUCUGAACCAAUGAGUUUUCCCAGUCCCAUGUUGGGUAUGACAAGUCUCAGCAUUUACAAUUCUUCUUUUGAAAAGGUGGUAAAUAUUGAUGAUAUGAAAAAUGAAAGAGAUUAUAACUUUCUCCCUUGCCUUGCAAGAUAUCUCAAAUGACGAGAAUGCCCACAGAGUCACAGAUUGAAGCUAUAACAGAGUCAGCAAAUGAUAAAAGAUAUUUAUUAUGAAAAAGAAACAGAGUAGAAAGGAGAAAAAGAAACAGAGAAGAGAAGAAGAAAACAGAGUGCUCUGUUUCGUUCUCUUUCUUUUCAUCAGAAAUAUGAGUAGGAAAGGUCUAGAUAUAGGAGACUGGAAACAGAGAAAGCUAUAACUAAUCUGAAACUAAUUUCAGCUCAUCCUCUUACAAAAACAAUUGUUUAACUAACUAACAGAAUUUUAUUCUUGAAUGAACAUGAAUCACAAAAUUAAAAAAUUACACAAGGUGUUGUGAAUCAAAACUGGGAAAAAUCCACCUCUUUUGAUCAACAACCUUGGCUAAUAAAAUAGCCUUACAAUAACUAAUUUAUAAGAAAAACAGCCCACGUUUUACACUAACAAAUAACGUGGUAAAGAGUAGAGAAUAAGUCAAAGCUGGAAACUACCCUGCUUAAUAGGGAUUAUUAAAACAAAAAAAAAAACUAAACAAUCAGAAAACUUAAAUCUUGACACAAGGACCUGAUGAUCUUCAAACACCCAGAAAAAAUCCAAACCCUUGCUCGAUCUUAUUAUUAUCUAAUCCAAAACCACACGACAUUAUGUACAUAUAUAUACAUAAGUGCAGGGGCUAUAGCAGAAGCGCAUGAUCAUCAUCAACCUCAUGGAGGAGUAGUGGGUGUAGUGAGGCAGGGGCGAUGGUCGGCCCUAUCGUCGCCGCCUAUAUAAGUGCACGAAGAAGCAGCAGAAGAUGGGACUGGACCUCUCGCCAUUAAAACAGAGUCCUUGGAGAUGCUAUGAACCCUACCACCUGCUACCAGAAUUGUGGCGGUGAGAAUCAAGCAGAGAGAGAUUGAAAUGGAGAGGAAAAUGAACUUCAUGUUGUGAAAUGAGUCAUGAGUUGUGCAAUUAGAGUAGUUCUUAAGAGGGAUGGUCUUGGGUCCUACCCACGGAAGUAACGCUGUGAAAUGUGUUAUGAGGUGUGCAAGUGCGUACUCCCAAAAGUUAAAAGAAAAACCCAAAAACCCUUUUGUUUUUUUCCUUUCUAUUCCUCUCUCAUCUCACCACCACAUUCUCCCACUCUCCUGCUUACUCACUACUUAUCCCAUCCUCCACUUUUCUCACACUUUCUCUCGUUCUUACCCACUGCAGCCACCCCUCUCUCUCUCUCUCUCUCUCUCUCUCUCUCUCACGCUCCUUUCUCUUUCUCAUUCCUUGCAUCAGUUUACUUCCUUUCCACCGUCAUCCCUCUUGUCUCUUUGUUUUUUUUUCCUCUGGAUUCCCGUUUCCCAUCAUGCCGUGAUCCUAACUGCUUUGUUUAUUACGAUGACCUCGUCAUAGGACUUCCAGAUCGGGUAAGUUUCUUUUUUUAAAUUUCCACGAUAGAGUGUUUGCAAACCUUUAUUUAGGUUUGGUUAUUGAACUGAUUUGAGCCUUUGAAUCUGAUUGGGGUUGAAUAUUAUUCAUUUGGGCUUUGUUUUGGGCCUGAUUUAUUGUAUUUUAUUUACUCUAAGUAUGGUCCCAAUUUCUGGUUAUUGGAUGAAACCACCAUGGAUACAUACCACAUGCAGGGCCAUAUUUGCAGAGCAAGAGAAGGUUCAGGAAUAGUCGUGGGCCGUAUUUAAGGGUACUAGGCCCUAGAGUACAGGCAAUGGUGGCGUGUUUUUUUUUUUCUCCAUAUAUUAAGGGUGUAUAUUCUGAUUAUUUCUUUUUUUUAAAAUUGUCAUUUUUUAUUUUAAAAAAUCUUUUCAUUAAUAAAAAACAGCCCAAUUUUUUUAUUUUUUAUUUAAAGGUCCAAAAAGUCAUUUUUUUUAAUUGUAAAACAUUUUUUAUAAAAUUGAUGAACUUUCUUUAAUAAAAAUAAAUUCAUUUAGUAAAAUGCUUUUUAGAUGAAAUUAAAUAAAAAUCUCUUUUUAAAAUAAAUAUUGAAUUUGAAAAUAAUUUUUAUAAAUAGGAAUUGUAAAAUAAUCAUUUUGAAUUGGAGUAUUUUUUAAAUAAUUUGUAAAAAUCACAUUCUUAAAAUAAAGAUCAUUGGAACUAUUUUUGAAAAUAAAGUUGUAAAAUUAAUGUUCUAAAAUAAAAUUUGAAUUUGAAGAUAUUUGGUAAAUAUAAGUUGUAACAAAAUUUUUUAUUUACUAAAAACCAGAUUGAAAAUAAAAGUUGUAAAAAAAAAAUUACUUGGAUUGGAAUGUUCUUUUAAAUAAUUUGUAAAAAUCGCAUUUCUUAAAUAAAGAUUUAAAUUGAACUUUCUUUUCUUUUAUGCUAUGUUUGGUCCUCGGAAAAUUUGAGAGGACAUGUGAGAGAAAAAAAAAAAACUAAUCAAAAUAAAAAAAUAAAAAAUAAAUUUAAAAUUAAAUAAAUUAUUUUUAUAUAUUUCUUUAAAUUUAUUUCAUUUAGUUUUCUCUAUUAUAUAAAAAUUAAAUAAAUUUAAAAUACAUAAAAUUUCAACUAAUUUUAAUUAUAUUUGAUUUUUUUAUAUUUUUAUAGUAAAACUAAAUAUUUGAAAAUCAUUUUCCUUAAUUUUUUUUUUAGUACUUUUCGAGAAUUUGACAUUAAUAAAUAAGUGAAAACCUUCUUUUUCCUUGUAAAAUAAUUUUUUUCAAAUAAUAAUCAAAUUAAUGUUUUUUUUAAAUGCAUAAAUUUAGUUUUCAAUAAAAUAAUAAAAAUCAAUUCCUAUGUAAAUAAAAUAAAAUUGAAAUAUUAUUUUGCAAAUAAAUUUGUAAAAAUCCUUCUUUAAAUAAUUUGUAAAUUUCCUUUUUUAGUAAAUAAAAUUUGAAAUAAAAUAUUUUCUUUUGGAAAUAAAAUUGUAAAAAAUUAAUUAUACCAAAAGUAAAUAAUAUAAAGUAAAAUCAAUUUCUUGUAAGUAAAAUCAAAUUUAAACAUUUCUCUUUCAAUCUGUACUUAUAAUAAAAGAUAAGGAAAAGUCAAUGCAAGUAAAAUCAAUUGUUCAGCUUUGUGAAUAAUUCUUUGACUCCGGACCCAUUCUAUACCUCUUUAUUUUCAAGGUCCUUAAAUCUUGGGCCUAUGGGAAGAGAAUAUAUAUAGGAAAAGACUCAAAAAAGGCAAAAUCUAUACCCGGCACAACAUCUGGAUCAGGUACAAAAUCACCAUAAAGGUGUAAAGCUAUGGACCUUUUUCUAUAGGACCAGUGGACCACCAUGUGAACCAAAAAUACCAUCAAUGAAAAUCUUGCAACGUUAAAGAAUAUGGGAAAUGACAAUAUCUCUAUUUUAUUUAUAGUUUAUUUUUAAGAUUAAUACCACAUUCCUCUUUUUAAAUACUUUAUAAUAUUAUUAAAUUAAACAUUUUUUAAUAAUGGAGGUGAUAGCCAUGUCUACUGUAAUAUCAAGCCUAGUUGAAGAAGGAUUCUUUGUUGAUCUAAUUUUGGUGUGAUUUUCUUUCUCUUUAAAUUUAGAAAUUGUCACACAAAUUUAGAUAAUAAAAAUGUUUUUCCUUACCUUUACAAAAUAUUUUUUUAUGUUUGAUUUUAGUAUAAAAAUAUAAUAAAUAUUAAUGAAAAGAAUUAAAAUAAGUGUGAGUUCUAAGUAAUAUAUAAAUAAUUUAUUAGUUUUAAAUCAACUUUUUAUUUUUUUUCAAAAUUUUUGACUUUAUAUAUAUAUAUAUUUCUAACAAACGUAACUUAAAAGUUUAUAUCUUUUAUCUGAAGGGAAAUAAAAAUAGAUAAAAGCUCAAAAAGUAAGUGAGUUGAAAUAGAAAAAGAGAGGGAAAGAGACGCCCAGCAUGCAAGGGCUUGGGAGAGUGAGGUAUAAGUUAUAACCAAAGAGAGAGAAGACUAAGGAGAGAGGCAUGCCCAAAAUACAACUAAAUUGAGACACGCUUAGAGAAAGAAAGAUGCCCAAUAUGUAAGGACUAAGGAGAAAAGCUUGUCCAAAGAGAGUUUAUUCCAUUCCCAUUUAUGGAACGACCUUUUAACUAUAAAGGUAUAUAGAGGCAUGCCCAAAAUACAAGUGGGUUGAGACUUGAGAUACACCUAGAAAAAGAUAGAUGCCCAAUUUGUAGGGCUGACAUCCUAGAGAGAGAUAGAUGCCUAAUAAGGAGAGGUAUGCCCAAAAUUUAAGUGGGUUGAGACACACCUAGACAGAGAUGUCCAGUAUGUUCGUUGUAUUUUUAAAACAACAUAUAUAACAAGAUAAACUAUAAAAAUCAUUCCUACAUUUUUUUUUUCAUGUUUUAAUUUAUUCCCUAAUUUAAAAAAAAAAAAAAAUUUUGAAUUUAAAGGCCAAAUAGGUCAUUAUAUUAAGUAUUUUCAUAGUAAAUAAAUCAGAUAUAUCCAAAUAUAUCAUACAAAAAAUUAAUUAUAUCAAUCUUUUUGUGCUUUUUGCAUGGAUUUUUUUUCAUCUAUUUUCGAACCAAAGAAAAAUGUUUAUUAAACAUUUGGGUAUGGUCUAAUAUUUAUUUUUAUUUUUUUGAAAAAAAAAAACCUUGUAGAUACGAUUAUUUUUGUAAUUCACUUUAUAUAAAUUUGGAGGACACCCAUGUCUCUGAGAUUUGGUAGGUGUCAAAUGUGAUGAGAUUCAAAAUUGGUGCCUUAGAACUGUUGCAGCUGCCAUCUUGGAAUUAUGCCCAAUGCCCAUCUCUUGAUAAUUCAUACGGCAAUAGGCAACUGAAAGAUUUGUACAACCCAAUGAGAAAGAGGGUUGAGCCACAGCUAGAGAGGCAGAGAAAUUACAACUUUUAAGCAAAUAUAAAGCCAAGAAUUCAAGAAUUUUUUUUCUCCUUUAUUUGCUUUUCCACAAAUUUCAUUUCAGAAUUGAUGUCAAAAAAUCACAGGAAAAAAAUUAGAAAAAGAAAAACCCACUAACUGUUGAAUCCUAACAAAUCAAGGGGUAAACAAGCCAACCACACACAAAAAAGCAAUGAAGAUAGAAGGGUAAACAUACUUUCAAACAUGAUCCUGAGAAUCAUUAAUGAAGGCAGUGCCUGUGGUCCUGAUUCAACUAGAAUUUGUGGCCAAAAGCAGAAAUCGAUUCCCCAAUCUUCAAAACAAACUAUUGACUGAUGAAAAAUGGGCUUCUGGUUUCAUUGUAUGUUGAACUUCUGCAACGAUUCUUGGUGAAGAAAUUAAGACAAAAAACAAAAGAAACAUACAGAUUUAAUGUUGUUCGACGGAUUGCCUAUAAGGAAGAAGGCUUUUACUAUAUCUCAAGAUAAAAGAGUGUUUAUACUAACCCUUAGUAAUGAAAUUUUAAAAAUACCCCUGAAUAGUACAUUUGCCUAUUUUUCUCAAGUAUGAAUUUCCCUCAAUACGAGUCACAUACUACAACAUUGUAUAAACAUUUUAAGUUCAGCAAUUUAUUCCCACUGCUCCUCCAAACAUGCCUUAAAAGAAUCCUUUUCAAACCCACACAUAUUCUUCAUGACAUUGAAGAGUCGGACUCCAACCAAGGACUAGGCAUGUAAAUACUAAAUAGGCCAGGCAGGACCCACGCCAAGUCUUAGCUUGCGUUCAGGCCAGGCUAAAAUAUUUAAUUAAAAUCAAGGGCCUCCCUCGACCCAAGAUUUUCAUCAAACCCAGUUAUUUCAACUUCAAAUAUAUGCUAAUUAGCCUUAGUCACACAGUGCUAAUCUUUUACAUGUUUCGUAACUUUGAAAUAGGAAAAGAAAUAUGAAAGAAAAGGCCAAAACAAAAAAGGAAAAAUCUAUAACCAACACAAAAUCCAAUACCAAUUGUUCAGGAUAUCAUAAUUUUUCCGUUAUUUGAAAGUAGAGCAUGUCGUAGAAAGCCAAAAACUUACCUUCAAAACCCAUAGUAGUUGCAGAGGAUGCCUCAAGAAAAGAAGAAGGGGAUGAGAGGAGGAUAGAUUCUUCACUUGCUCUGACCCUUCUCGCGUAUGGAAUGUAUCCGCUUCUCAACAGCCCUAGACAUUUUCUAAAUACUAUGAAAGGUUCCUUGAUCCAAUGGGCUGGCAGAAAGGUUGCAAGAGGAAGUGUGAGCCCAUGGGAAGCAAUUGGUGUCCAACCCAUUACGGCCCACAAGUUUUACCAUUGGUUGUUCAAGCCACAUACAAAAUUCAAACCAUAGUAGAUUUGAGUUUUAGAGAGAGAGAAGCAAACAGUGAGAGAAAGAGAAACAACACCAAACUGAAUACCCGCCAGAAGAGAACAUACAGUAUUCACAUUGGAGGAAGACAUGCUUGAGUUUUAUUUAUCUCAGACUCCAAUCUGCAACAAUGCAUUGGAAAAGGUACAGCAACAAACUGGGUAUCCACCAAAGGCUAAUUAAUUUGAUCUCUCCACAGUUAUGUUGAUGGGUUCCAUUGUUUGAAGAAAGUCAUAUCAAAACAGAUACAUGAAAUCAUGCACAGCCCAAGAAACCUGGGAGAGACCACCUUCACCCUUUGAUCGAGCAAGCCAUGGCUAGUCUUGUAACCACCCCAUCCAUUCAUUUUAGGUCUAAUGAACCCUCACGGUUUUGAAAAAACCAAAUAUAUAUAUAUAUGAAUUUUUUUCAUAUCUCCGUACAGACAUUGCAUCCUCUUAUAGACAGACCCGCUCCAUGUAGAUGUCACGUCCUCUUAUAGACAGAUUCGCCAUCCUCUUUUAGAGGACUGACCAUGUAGAUAUUCGCUUUGCCCCUUUUUCUCCAUAUAUGUCUUUCCCUCGAUGUGAGCCACAUACUACAGCAAAACACCAAUAAAAAAUCCAAACCCAUGCUCGAUCUUAUUAUUGAACAAUCCAAAACCACACAGCAUUAUGUUUAUAUAUAUAUAUAUACACAUAUAUUGGCGAAGAUAUACCAGAAGCGCUUGAUCAUCAUCAACCUCAUGGAGGAGUAGUGGGUGUAGUGAGGCAGGGGCUAUGGUCGGCCCCAUCGUCGCCGCCUAUAUAAGUGCAGGAAGAAGCAGAAGAAGGUGGGACUGGACCUCUUGCCAUUAAAACAGAGUCCUUGGAGAUGCUAUGAACCCUACCAGCUGCAACCAAAAUCGUGAAGGUGAGAAUCAAACAGAGAGAGAUUGAAAGGGAGACCCAGAUGAAUUUCAUGUUGUAAAAUGAGUUAGUGAUGAGUUGUGCAAACAGAGCUUGGGGCUUGGGUCUCCGUUUUAAAGAAAAUUGGAUGGUCCUGGGUGUUGGGUCCGACCCACACGAGGGAAAGGUUCUUUCAAAGGAGUCAAAUUUUUGACUGCUCACUACUGGCCGUCCGAUUUUAAAAUAUAGUAAAAGCCAUGAGUAAUACAGUUGAGAUUUUGCUGUUUGACCAAUACAUGGAGUUUGAUUAAUGGAGGUCCCACCCAAGUGCCAGGUGUUAAUUAGGAAGCAGGAUGCUUUGUAGACUCCACCACCACCCCCCAUUGAAUUCAUGCUUCCAAAGAUUUCCACUUAUCAGUUACAACUUACAACAACUCCACCUCCAAAUGAAUUCAUGCCAUUGCAUUCUUUUGAUUCUAUUUCUCCUUACAACUCAAUAAAGAUGGGAGUUUGUGUAAAUUGCACACCGCCCAUUGAAUUCAUGCCAUUGCCAUUGCAUUCUUUUUAUUCUAUUUCUUAUUCUCCGGCUUCCUUCGACUAGAAGUAACACGGUUCAAACACAAGAAGAAAAAGUGUGAGCGGGCCUUUCAUGGGUUUGUAUCAUUGAGUAUACGGUGGAAGAAUGAGAAGGUAAAUACACUUUAGAAUUGAAGGAGGAUCGUAAGCCAGCUGUAAAGACAGUUUAGUCAACAAGAAGGGAAGACGCAAUACCUGAAGACAAAAAAUGUUUUUUCUUUUUUUAUAUAUAUAAAAAAAUUUAUAUACUUGAAUGGAUGGAAAGUGGUCCGGAUACACUGCACCCAAAUUAAAGCACAGGGGUAAAAUGGUCAUUUGGUAAAAUAAAAAAUAAAAGAUAAAUAAUUGAAAGAGGGUAGAAAGUUUUUUUUGUGUUUAAUUUUAGACUUUUAAGAUAAUAAAAAGUCUUAAAAGUGGGCUGUUUUUUUAUAUAGUAUAAAUAUAGAUAUAGUCUUAUAGAUAAGUCUUUCAUGUAAAAGUCGGUUAUUAAUUGUUUUUUAUUUUAAUUUUAAAAACCGAAUAAAAUUAGAAAAAUGUACAAGGAGAAGUUAGAAUUUAUUUAUUUUAUUAUUUUAUUUCCUUUCGCUCAGGAUUCAUUUCAAAAUCUUCAAAGUUGAAACAAAGUUUCAAUAUUUAUGAGAUGAAUGACAAGGCAACAUGGAGACGAAAUAGUGCAAGAAGAAUGAAAAUGACAAUCUUGCUCACUUCUGAAAGCGUCGAAGCCUUUAAUGUUUUGUCACUCUGCUGGUUCAACCCCACUAUUCUGCACAAAAUUUGUGGGAACUCAAUCCAAAAGAUUUCGACUUAUCAUUGAGUAUACAGUGGAAGAAUGAAAGAUGCUCUAAAUUCUUGUGUGUUGGCCAAGUCUCACUCACUCUUGCCAAGUAAAGUAAUUCAUGUAUAAUAAGAUCUUUUAUUCAUAUAUUUCGUUUUUAAAGUAAUUUUAAUUUAUAUAAAAAUAAAAAUAAGAAUGAGAAGGUAAAUAUACUUUGGAAUUGAAGGAGGAUCGUAAGCCAGCUGUAAAUACAGUUUAGUCAACAAGAAGGGAAGAGGAAAUACGUGAAGACAAAAAAUGUUUUUUCUUUUUUUAUAUAUAUAAAAAAAUUUAUAUACUUGAAUGGAUGGAAAGUGGUCCGGAUACAAUGCACCCAAAUUAAAGCACAGGGGUAAAAUAAAAAAUAAAAGAUAAAAAUAAAGCAAAUAAAUUGAAAGAGGGUAGAAAGAUUUUUUUGUGUUUAAUUUUAGACUUUUAAGAUAAUAAUUUUUUUUUUUUUUGAUAGGAUUUUUAGAUCUCAAAAGUCUUAAAAGUGGGCUGUUUUUUUAUAUAGUAUAAAUAUAAAUAUAGAUAUAGAUAAGCCUUAACAAAUUAUUGGAUUUCAUGUAAAAGUCGGUUAUUAAUUAUUAUUAUUAUUUAUAAAAAAAAAACCGAAUAAAAAUAGAAAAAUGUACAAGGAGAAUUUUGAAUUUAUGUUUUUAUUUUUUUAUUUUCUUUCGCUCAGGAUUCAUUUCAAAAUCUUCAAAGUUGAAACAAAGUUUCAAUAUUUAUGAGAUGAAUGACAAGGCAACAUGGAGACGAAAUAGUCAAAGAAGAAUGAAAAUGACAAUCUAGCUCGCCCCACUUGCUCGCUUCUGAAAGCGUCGAAGCCUUUAAUGUUUUGUCACUCUGCUGGUUCAACCCCACUAUUCUGCACAAAAUUUGUGGGAACUCAAUCCAAAAGGAAUGAAGUCUAAUAGUCCUUGCAGGCCUUGGGGUGGAGCCGAAGUCGAUUCUAAGCUUUUAUCGCUACUUUCUGAAGGAAAAAAACAGUACAACCUCAAAAGCUCCAAAUCGAAUCAAAACAGAGAUUAGCAAAGGAAAGAAAACCAAGGAAAAAAAUGUAGGAAAAAGGAAAUUUUGUACGGGAAAGAUCGGGUCACGGCCAGUAACAGCAUUUCUUCUAUUCCUUACUAUUUUCGCAGAAAUUUUUAGAAGAAAUGGUAGCGAAAUUGCAGAUCUAAAGAGCAAAAAAAUUUACCCAUUCCCCUUCAAAUCAAACGCAGCCUUUGUUACCACUUUGAUGCCCGAUUGGGAAAAGGAAAAAGCCAAAUCACAACAGAAAUUUGAAGCCCAACCGCUGCAAAAUUGCAGAUCUAGGAACACCGAUCUCUAUUUCGGUGAAAUACGAAGCUACAAAUCAACCAAAAGUAGAGAUCAACAAAUGAAAGAAAACUAGGGAAAAUUUUGCGUACUUGUAUACUUGUUGAGAGAGCGGAAAGAUGGAGGCCACCUCCAAUUCACGGCCAACAUCACCAUUUCCUUCAUCGAUCCACCAUUUCUCCCCAAACUAUUUAAAGAAAUUCAACAGAGAAUAAAAAAAAUUUUUGAUCUUCUACUUUUCCACUAAAUUCAUCUCAGAUACUUCAAAAAAAAAAAAAA